rnacentral:snoRNA from 1 species
UAGAUAUUUAAAACUAGCUGCAUAAAUGUCCUAGAUAAAUAUAGUAGCUUUCUGUUCACCCUUUGUAAGUAAAAAGGAUGGAUCAUUCCACUACUGACAUAU